AGGCACGGACACAAGGGUGUGCUAAGGUAUGCUGCAGCACACCCCAAGAUUUUGGGGGAAAAAAAUUAAUAUAUGUAUAGUUGUAUACCGAAGUAGCUCCAGACUUUCGCUUCUGGACGUCCACAGAGCUAGUUUGGGGGGAAGAAAAGUCAACAUAUACAUAAUUAAUAUAUGUAUAAUUAACACUCUUGAAAGAACCUUCUUGUUCCCACUGUUGUUCAUCACCCAUAGUUUUGGUUCUUCUAUAAUUAAUAUAUCAUUUUCUCUCUUUCUCUAUCCUCUCUGUGCUCUCGUCCUCACAACCUUUUCACCCUUUCUCUGUUCUGCGUUUCUCAAGCUCAGAGCCUCAGACUCUCACCUCUCUCUACCAAGUCACUCUUAUCUCCUCUCCUCAAUAAUCUGCUCUCAUCUCUCAACCUUAUUCAGGUUUUGUUUUUAAUGACAGAUCAACCUCAAAAUCCUAAGCCACGAAAAGUUCAGAAGAAAGUAAAUUCAUAUUUUCUGAAAAAUGAUGUUGUUAUGGGUGAUAUUCCAAGUUCGGUUGUGGAAGAACCUUCUUGUUCUGUACGAGUUGAGUCUCAUGAAAUUGAUGUUAAUCACAUUGAACGUGAUCCGGGAAAACGCCCUGCAAUCUCGUCAUAUCCUAUUAAUGAGCGUGAUGAAGUUCAAAGAAAAUAUAUGAGUUUUAUGCUUCAGAUUUGGGUGACAAAAUGCAUCUUGUGGAUCAUAUUUUGACAAGUGUUAUGCAAUUGAGAUAUUCCAUCAAAACAAAGUAAACUCUGCCAAAUUUUUGAGAAUAAUUUUUCUUGCCAGCAUAAGGUAAAUUUAGCACACCUCAAAUUUAAUUCCUGGUUCCGUGCCUGUGU